rnacentral:misc_RNA from 1 species
AACGCACCUUGCACUCCUUGGUAUUCCGAGGAGUAUACCUGUUUGAGUGUCAUUAACUUCUCAAACUUGUUUCCUUGUUAAUCUUGGAGACAGUUUGGAUAUGAGAGUUGCUGGUUUUCUUAAAUCAGCUCUCUUUAAAUGCAUUAGUAGUUUUGGCUUUGUUCCACAUUCUCAAUUGAUGAUAGUUAUCUACAUCAUUAGAGUUUGAAUCUGCUUAUAACUGUCUUUAUUGACAAACCUUUUGACAAUUUGACCUCAAAUCAGGUAGGACUACCCGCUGAACUUAA